CACAAGCGGUGGAGCAUGUGGUUUAAUUCGACGAUACGCGAAGAACCUUACCCGGGUUUGACAUUGUAUCGAAGCAUCCAGAGAUGGAUGUGUCUCUUCGGAGACGGUAUGACAGGUGCUGCAUGGCUGUCGUCAGCUCGUGCCGUGAGGUGUUGGGUUAAGUCCCGCAACGAGCGCAAUCCCUAUCUUUAGUUGCCAUCAGUUCGGCUGGGCACUCUAUGGAGACUGCCACCUAAAGUGGAGGAAGGUGGGGAUGACGUCAAGUCAGCAUGGCCCUUAUGUCCAGGGCGACACACGUGCUACAAUGGCCGGCACAACGGGAAGCGAGUUCGCGAGGACGAGCGGAUCCCUCAAAGCCGGUCGCAGUUCGGAUUGAAGUCUGCAACUCGACUUCAUGAAGCUGGAAUCGCUAGUAAUCGUGGAUCAGCCAAGCCGCGGUGAAUACGUUCCCGGGCCUU
rnacentral:rRNA from 1 species